AUUGAUAGCACAAACAAGAUAUGGAAAAUGAAAUUAAUAUACAAUACCUUCUAAACGGACAUUGCCCAAAAGAUCUUGCAGAAGCAAAUCAUGAAGAUUUUCAAGUGUGGAAAGGAGAACCUUCCGGAGAAUAUUCAGUAUGAAGUGCUUAUAAACUAUUACAAGAUGCUAGCUUGAUUCCUAAUAGUUAUUUAAUACAGGCCGAAAUUAAAGACUUCUGCAGAAAAUUAUGGGAUUUAAAACUACCAUAAAAAAUUACAUUAUCAGUAUGGUAGAUCUCAUGGAAUUUUAUCCUUACACUAGUCAACUUUAGACACAAGCGACCACAAAUGUCAGAUGUCCUCAUUGUUUUGUCGGAGAAGAGGACAACCACCAUGUCUUUUGACAAUGCCCUACAAUCAUAGAAGUAUGGCAAAAUCUUAAUCUCUCUUGGGUCACAACUCAUAUAAAUCAUAAUAUCUGAGAGUGGCUAACCUGGGUUUUCAAAGAGGGUACCAAGGAACAGUGUCAAACUUUUUGCUGUACUUUAUGGUCUAUCUAGAGCUCAUGGAAUCAGCAUGUUCAUGAAGGAAAAACCAUUUUAGCAGAACUUGAAGAGGUACGAGAAAAAAAGCUCAACUUUAAUACUGAAAGAGUUCACAACCAAAUGGGAGGGACAACAAGUGUGAUGAUUCAGUUUGAUGCAACUUUUGACAACAGAAAUUCUAGAUCGGCAUCAGUUUCAGUGUUCGGGAUCAAAUGGAUGAGUUUAAAGCCUCAAAGACGACUCUUCAUUAUAACGUCUCAUCCCCGUUCACAGUAGAAACUCAUGCAGGUUUACAAGUCAUCAAGUUAGUAUCCUUAAUGGGUUUAACUUCAGCAACAAUAAUGGGAGACUCGAAAACAAUAAUCAAGAAAUGCCAAUAAACAAAAAUGGAUAAAUUAGUUAUUAGAGCGAUUAUUAGAGACAUUCAGAGUAAAAGAACUUGUCUUCAAGAGAUUUCUUUCCAGUUUAUCCACAGAUCAGAGAAUACUCGGGCCCAUAAACUAGCAAAAGAAGCAUUAGCAAAACUAGCGUACCUAGUGAGGGAAGCGUUGAACCACAGUGAUCUUGCUCCGAAAGGAAGAUGGAGAAUAAGGCUAAACUGAAAUUGUUUUGGGGAAGAAAUGAAGUAAAAGAUAGCAGGUAAAAGAAAUUUUUUGGGGAAAAGCUAUCUGUUGAACAGACGCGACUGUUGACAUGAAAAGAAGAAAAGAUAAAUGGUGUAUAGGCUAUUCGAUGUGACUAGGAAAAAGCAUUAGGUUUCCUUUUAUUAAUUAUUUCUUUAUUGCAUUAAUUGUUU
rnacentral:lncRNA from 1 species